AGGAUUUGAAUCUCUGAAGACAC
rnacentral:piRNA from 1 species